rnacentral:rRNA from 1 species
AUUGUCGAUUUGGAGUUUGUUGCCUAGAGUGAUGGGCUCCGAAGCUAACGCGAUAAAUCGACCGCCUGGGGAGUACGGCCGCAAGGUUAAAACUCAAAUGAAUUGACGGGGGCCCGCACAAGCGGUGGAGCAUGUGGUUUAAUUCGAUGCAACGCGAAGAACCUUACCUGGUCUUGACAUCCAUAGAAUUCUGCAGAGAUGUGGGAGUGCCUUCGGGAACUAUGAGACAGGUGCUGCAUGGCUGUCGUCAGCUCGUGUUGUGAAAUGUUGGGUUAAGUCCCGCAACGAGCGCAACCCUUAUUCUUUGUUGCCAGCGAUUUGGUCGGGAACUCAAAGGAGACUGCCGUUGAUAAAGCGGAGGAAGGUGGGGACGACGUCAAGUCAUCAUGGCCCUUACGACCAGGGCUACACACGUGCUACAAUGGCGUAUACAAAGGGAAGCGAAGGUGCGAGCUGGAGCGGAUCUCAUAAAGUACGUCUAAGUUCGGAUUGGAGUCUGCAACUCGACUCCAUGAAGUCGGAAUCGCUAGUAAUCGUAGAUCAGAAUGCUACGGUGAAUACGUUCCCGGGCCUCGUACACACCGCCCGUCACACCAUGGGAGUGGGUUGCACCAGAAGUAGAUAGCUUAACCGCGAGGGGGGCGUUUACCACGGUGUGAUUCAUGACUGGGGUGAAGUCGUAACAAGGUAACCA